GGAAUUUAUACAAACGGACUAAAAUGGCUCUAGUAUUUUCAUAUUUCAAUCAUGAAGAUGGCUUUAAAACAGAGUGAGGAAGGGACGAGCAUGGUUGCAGUUUGUAUUUGAAUGACAACGGCUCGCCGCCAAAUGAUGCAAUUCAAAACGUGUGGUUCACAGCGUCAAUAUACUAAGAAUUCCGCCUUGACAGAGAAAUAGAAGAGGUGGUUAGAACUAGUUCGCCUGUAACUUCAAGGAUGUAAUACGUCGAAAGGAAUAAGGUGAGUUAUUACAAUAUAAUGCGAGAAUUAUAAUGUAAUGAUUGUUGUCUGCGAUUACAAUAUGAUAUGACUGCUUUAAUAUUGAUCGGCUGAGGCUAUUCUCUGCAUUAUCAAUUUGCAGUCUCAGACUCUCAGUUAAGAAAACUUGCGCGCGUUUUUAUUUACAAGUACCUUUGUCUGAUUUAUCUUGCGUUUACUGUUUUCCUUUCAAUUAUAUAAAGACAAAUAUUUUAGAACCUGAGCUGAAAAAUCGAAAAUAACUGUUCAAUGCCCAACACCUCAACUAUAUCAUAUACAUAUACAUAUACACAUAUAGGAAUGGAUGAUUUUGUGCAUUCACUACGCACAACAAUACAGACAACAAUAUUUUAUUCAUUAAAUUUCAAUUGAUUCAAUGGCAAAUGGUAGUGUUUUUAUAUUGAUUACUGAACGGUGGAAUUUCUUUUAUUUAUGAUACUCUGUGUGUAAGAAGAUAUACAGUAUACACUACACAGCUGGACCUGAGCUGGUGCUUCAUGAAUAUUUUUUGCCAACUCUAAUUUUAUAUUUCAUUUUUAAACAUUAAGCUGCAAUGUCCCCAAAUAUAGCUUAUUUUAUUGUUUUCUUCUGUCUAACGCCAGACAAUCUUGAUUUUAUUUGCCAAAGGGAUCUUAUGAGGUAAUUUUACCUAUCAAUGGCCAAUGGGAGAGUCCUAAGUAUUAAUAUGGAUUAUUAUAUAAUAUUCACAUUAUAAAAUUGCAAAACAUAAUUCUAUUUCUCAACCAUGUCAAAAGAUAAAGCAAAAUUAAUAAAAUGUUUAUUGCAACACCUGAUAGAAUCUCAUUUUGAAGUAGAAUAAUUGCUACAUCUAGUGUUAAGGUGAUCUCUUAUCCGUCCUGGACAAAUAGACCAUUCGACAGGGGUGAAGUAAUUUUUCUUUCUUGAAAUGGCAAUGUAUCGAUAUGGUUUUUCAAUGGCAAAAUGCAAUUGGAUUGUACCAGUGACUAAUUAUAUUAAGUUAAAGGGGCCCUACAAUUUUUUUUAGUUGAAAAGCCAUUGUUUACAUUUUUUGUUAUUGUCGCUUCUUGACAUGCGCAUCACAGCAUGCAUGCAUCUUCCGGUAUGCGGAAGUACUCAUACUCAUGGAUACUGCAUGUAAGAUACAGCCAAACGAAUCUCUGUGGAGUCCGCCACUUAAGGUGGCUUUUUAACUAAAAAAUGACUGUAGGACCCUUUUAAGGUAACACAUGCUCAAUGGUUUCCCUGUUAGAUACUGUACAUACUCACUUUGAAGCAGAUUAAUUGUACGCCCAUAUUCUACUGUUAUUUCUACUGUGUCCAGGAUGGAUAAAAGAUAUGCCAUCUCAGCUUAACACUCCAUGUAGCAAUUAAUCUAACAGGGAAGGUACUGAUAAAUUCACGCCGGGUCAGCUGUUCUCACAAAUCGGCCAUCUAAUCAAACUUUUUUAAUAUAUUUCGGAUGGACAUGAAACUUGCUACAUGAAUAUAACGUUCCAUUCCGAACAAUCGUAUGUUUUUUAUUUUUGAGAUUUAACGGUUUUUGCGGGAAAAUGACAUCACGAAACCUCCAGUUAAAAUUUAUUUUCAAUAUCUUAAUAGUUUUUAAGCAGAAUGUGAAAGAUCAUGUCAUGAAGAGUUCAAAACUGAAAACAGAUUUUAAAUAUCUUAAUCUAAUCACGAGAUACAGGGAGUUUAGAAUCGAAUUUUCCGCCAUUUUGUUACUAUUUUUAGAUUUUUCAUGGUUUUUAUGGUGAAAUAACUUUGGAUUAGAUUUAGAUAUUUAAAAUCCGUUUUCAGUUUUGAACUGUUCAUGACAUGUUCUUCCAAAUUCUGCGACAAAACUAUUAAGAUAUUGAAAGUAAAUUUUAACUGGAGGUUUUGUGACGUCAUUUUCCCGCCAAAAACCGUUAAAUCUCAAAAAUAAAAAACAUACGAUUGUUCGGAAUGGAAAGUUAUAUUGAUGUAGCAAGUUUCAUGUCCAUCCGAAAUAUAUUGAAAAAGUUUACAUCAGAUAGCCGAUUUGUGAGAACAACUGACCCGGCGUGAUUAUCUAACAGGGAAGCCAUUGAGCCAGUGUUUCUUAGCUAUAUAAUUAAUCAUUGGUGCAAUCCAAUUGCAUUUUGUCAUUGAAAAAUCAUAUCAAUACAUCAUCAUUUCAAGAAAGAAAAAUUACUUUGCUACAGUAUAUGGUGUAACCUGUGUCAAAUUGGUCAUUUGUCCGGGACGGAUGUGCCAUCUCACCUUAACACUAUCGCCAAUAUUCUAAGAGCUCACUCACACUCAAUGAGUGGAGAUUCAACAUAAGCUUCUGUCAAGUGUCAUUGCCGUUUUUAAAAAGCUGGAGGGCUAGUGUCAUACCUUACUAUGUAACUACUCACCGUCUCACCCUAUUCAAAAACAGCAUUGACCCUCAAGAGAAGCUCAGAUUAAACCUGAGCCACUCAUUGAAUGUGAAUAAGCUUUUAGAAUACAGGUAGUGUUAAGGUGAGAUGGCACAUCUCUUAAAUCCAUCCUGGACAAAUGACCCACCUGACACAGGUAACACUAUAAUGAAGUAAUUUUUCUUUCUGGAAAUGGCGAUGUAUCGAUAUGAUUUUUCAAUGGCAAAAUGCAAUUUGACUGCACCACUGAUUAAUUAUAUAGCUAAGGAACUCUGGCUCAAUGGCUUCCCUCUUAGAUAAUGUAGGCCUACUCUGUUUGAAGUUGAUUAAUUGCUACAAGGAUUGUUAAGGUGAGAUGGCACAUCUCUUAUCUGAUUAAGUAAUUUUUCUUUCUUGAAAUGAUUUUUCAAUGGCAAAAUGCAAUUAAACUGUAUGUCUGUACCAGUGAUUAAUUAUUUGUUGAUGUGUCACUCACUUUCCUGUUAAAUACUGCUUUUGAAGUAGUCAAGUAGAUUAAUUGCUACAUGUAGUGUUAAGGUGAGAUGGCACAUUGAGUGGCAGCACUCCCCUCCUGACGAGUAAAAUUAUCUGGCGUUAGACAGGGUAAAAUAAUGUGGCGUUAGACAGAGUAAAAUAGUAAAGUAGGGCGCAUUGCCACUUGAAGGGUCAAUGUGUCACUCACUAUUGUCGAUAUAUGCUUGCCCCUUACAAGCUGAAUUUUCUCUACUUAUUUUAAUUUUUUGGGAGUUGUUUAUCGGUUGAAUUUACUGUUGAACCAAAUUUAUGCCACUUCUCUCUAGAUGGAUGGCUCAUUUGACACAUCAACCCAUUAAUUGUCAACACUCACCCUUGAUUUGGUUUGAGAUGAUUUGGUUUAAGAUAGGGUACAUGUAAAAUAACAAGUAGGGUGCACUUACAUGUAGUACAAUGCCAAAUCAAGUUCCAGUCUUCCAGCAGUCUCUUCUUGUGGAGUAAAAUAACAAUGAAUGGCUACAAUGCUACUUAAAUACUUCAAGGGCUAACCGAAGUUACCAAAUACACUAGCAGGUGCUAAGGUUAACCCAUUAAUGGACAAAAAUCUUCCCUUGACAAAUACCUGUAAAAUCAUUUUGCAGUAGGCAGAUUAAAUAAUAAUGUAGGGUUGCCGAGUAUUUAAUAUAAACCUUAUGGAAUUGUCACAAUUUUUUUAGUGUUAUGGCUAUACAUGUAGGUAGCGUUGCUUUGCACAUCCUUAGCAUUGCUCCCUGAUGCACCCUUUAUUUGACUCUGUCUGACACCAGACGACUUUUUUGAAAGAGAGAGAGUUUAAGGUUUAGUUUCUUAAUCGUUGAGAACAAAUUUAAUAAGGAAAUGGCAUUUAUGGCUUCAAAUUGCAAACUUUUUCCGGAGGAGAAUGCCCUAUAAUAAUGCAACACCCCCCCCCCCCUCUCAUCUUUGGAAAACAUCCACCCCUUCUCUAACAAGUGAAGCUUGAUCCACCCGAGAUUCAUUUCAAUAUUUGCAAAUAUGUUCUGCUUGUCCAUAUAUGUCUCAUGUGUGUAGGAUGUACUUUUAAAAGCAUUGUUUUUUUCUUAAUACAUUAAUUCAUACAUUUGCUGUUUUGUGUUCUUUGCUAGAUAGAUGUGCACAGAUCGUUACAAUCAUAUCCUGGUACUUAUGAAAUUUUCUCCAAUCUUACAUCAUGUAUAUGUCUCUGGCAGACACAAACCUUAUAGUACAAGAAAAUAGUGGAUGACCCUGAAUGCCUUUAUAUUUGACAUUUACAGAGGAAAGAUUCCCCUAAUGUGGAACGGACAGUGAUUGAAGGUUAAAUAAAUAAAUAAUAUAUUCACAUUUUUAGACAGUGUAGAAAUUGUGUAUAAGGCAUGCAUGUGUCAGUGUAGGUAGUGAUUAACAACAUAUAUACUGUAGUUGCAUAGAGUUACUUUUGCUUUGUACUUAUAAGUGGCAAAACCCCCCAAAGAAACUUCACUUGUCUUGACCUGCCAUUCAACCAAUAUGGCCAAACGUUUGGCAAAUUUUGCAUAGCGUAGUACAGAAUAUAUGAAUAAUAUAAAUUAUAGCCUAUAGGCCGCAUUGUGAUUAACGAUUCCAUAUUUUCCAUUCAUAUUUGUAAAUAUUUUAAAGUACAUGUAAUAAAGUGUAUGCACAAUUUCAG